AACGAACGCUGGCGGCAGGCCUAACACAUGCAAGUCGAGCGCUGUAGCAAUACAGAGCGGCGCACGGGUGAGUAACACGUGGGAACGUGCCCUUUGGUUCGGAAUAACUCAGGGAAACUUGAGCUAAUACCGGAUGAGCCCUAACGGGGAAAGAUUUAUCGCCGAAGGAGCGGCCCGCGUCGUAUUAGCUAGUUGGUGGGGUAAUAGCCUACCAAGGCAACGAUCCGUAGCUGGUUUGGGAGAACGACCAGCCACACUGGGACUGAGACACGGCCCAGACUCCUACGGGAGGCAGCAGUGGGGAAUCUUGGACAAUGGGGGAAACCCUGAUCCAGCCAUGCCGCGUGAGUGAUGAAGGCCCUAGGGUUGUAAAACUCUUUCGGCGGGGACGAUAAUGACGGUACCCGCAGAAGAAGCUCCGGCUAACUUCGUGCCAGCAGCCGCCGUAA
rnacentral:rRNA from 1 species